rnacentral:rRNA from 1 species
UACGUAGGGUGCAAGCGUUAAUCGGAAUUACUGGGCGUAAAGCGUGCGCAGGCGGCUAUGCAAGACAGAUGUGAAAUCCCCGGGCUCAACCUGGGGAACUGCAUUUGUGACUGCAUGGCUAGAGUACGGUAGAGGGGGAUGGAAUUCCGCGUGUAACAGUGAAAUGCGUAGAUAUGCGGAGGAACACCGAUGGCGAAGGCAAUCCCCUGGACCUGUACUGACGCUCAUGCACGAAAGCGUGGGGAGCAAACAGG